rnacentral:misc_RNA from 1 species
AACCCUAGCAAGUGAGAAAUCUCACUCCAUAAGAGGUUAGUGACCAAAACCUUAAAUUUAAAUUCAAUUCCAUGUUUAAGCAUUAUAUUGGUGAUUAAAUGACAAAGAAACUUGAUGAAAGACAUUGGUAUGCCAUCCCUUAUUUUUGGCAGCCAUGGUUAGGGUUUGAUGGUGUUGAGUUUAAUGAAGUUAAAAGGGUAUUGGGGCUGCCCACAAUGUGUAUUUGCUAAGUAGAUUGAAGAAAUAAAGUGAAAAUGCAAGUUUGAUAAUGUUGAGUUAGGGUUUGUAGGGGGGAAAAUGAGACUUUGAUCUUGUGAUGAUAGAAGUAGGUUUUAAUGGUCAAUUAGUGAUCAUUUGGUUUGGUCUGAACCAGAAAUGAAGUGAAUUGGGUUGUGGGAUUUGAGGUUGGAGUGGCUGCCUUGGGUGACCUGCAGGUGUGGCUGUGAGUCCAGCCUGUUUGGACAGCCAUAACUUGAAUUGUAGAGGUUCAAUUGGUGCAAGGCCAAU